ACGGUGAGUAACACGUAUCCAACCUGCCGUCUACUCUUGGACAGCCUUCUGAAAGGAAGAUUAAUACAAGAUGGCAUCAUGAGUCCGCAUGUUCACAUGAUUAAAGGUAUUUUCCGGUAGACGAUGGGGAUGCGUUCCAUUAGAUAGUAGGCGGGGUAACGGCCCACCUAGUCAACGAUGGAUAGGGGUUCUGAGAGGAAGGUCCCCCACAUUGGAACUGAGACACGGUCCAA
rnacentral:rRNA from 1 species